rnacentral:rRNA from 1 species
GACGAACGCUGGCGGCGUGCUUAACACAUGCAAGUCGAACGGAAAGGCCCUGCUGUUGUGGGGUGCUCGAGUGGCGAACGGGUGAGUAACACGUGAGUAACCUGCCCUUGACUUUGGGAUAACUUCAGGAAACUGGGGCUAAUACCGGAUAGGAGCUCCUGCUGCUUGGUGGGGGUUGGAAAGUUUCGACGGUUGGGGAUGGACUCGCGGCUUAUCAGCUUGUUGGUGGGGUAGUGGCUUACCAAGGCUUUGACGGGUAGCCGGCCUGAGAGGGUGACCGGCCACAUUGGGACUGAGAUACGGCCCAGACUCCUACGGGAGGCAGCGGUGGGGAAUAUUGCACAAUGGGCGGAAGCCUGAUGCAGCAACGCCGCGUGCGGGAUGACGGCCUUCGGGUUGUAAACCGCUUUCGCCUGUGACGAAGCGUGAGUGACGGUAAUGGGUAAAGAAGCACCGGCUAACUACGUG